rnacentral:pre_miRNA from 1 species
CAAGUACUCCCUCCGUCCCAAAAUUCAUGUCUUAGAUUUAUCUAAAUACGGAUGUAUCAAGUCAUGUUUUAGUAUUAGAUACAUCCGUAUCUAUACAAAUCUAAGACAAGAAUUUUGGGAUAGAGGGAGUACAAU